GCGGACGUGGUGCAUGGCGCACCGCUGCCUUGAUUGAGGUAGUAAGAUGUAAAGUGUAAGCAGCUGCCGGGGUUCGACUCCCUGCGUCCGCA